rnacentral:lncRNA from 1 species
UUCUAUUUUUUUGAAAAGAAAGGGUAAAAUAUAAACUUGAUUUUUAUACACGCCUAUAUAGAAUUAGAUAUAUAUGCACUUGAUUGAAGCAAUUGUUCAAUGAUAACUGAUAUACCAAAAAUCAAUUCUAACACUAAAAUCUCACUGAUCUAGACAAACCUAUCUAAAUUCUAAAUUCACCAAUUGUUAAUGAAGAUAUAGAAAGAAAAUUGGCGGUGGAAGUGCAGUAUUGAAGGUUUAGAAAAAUAUUUUUUCUGGAAACAAAGAAUGUGUAGUAUUGUUCUUGACGUUAAGUUUUAUGAUCUCAAAACUAUAAAGGUAUAAGAUUAGGGUGUUCACUACACUCAGUUAGUUACUUUAAAAAAUUAUUAUUAGUCUUUGAUUAAAAAUAAUAUACGGUUCAGAUUUGGUGUCAAAGUAAUCGUUGACACC